rnacentral:rRNA from 1 species
UGUAGUAGGUAGUCGCGACGUCAGCACGUGCCUUCGUCGUGUUCUAUAGUACAAGAAGGUCACACCGGGGACUGCCCUGGCUAGUUCGCUUGGUCGCUCGGCGUGGUUGGGGUGUGACCUCUUUGGGCGCUCGGCGCUCGCCGUGGUGGUGGUCGACGUCGCGGUCGCUGGGUGCGGCACGCCGCCGGGGGGCAGGCAGGGUGGUUAACCGUGCCCGUUGGAGCAUCCUGCGCGGGGUGCCGGUGUCGCGAUGAGGAGGUGGUGGUGGGUGCGUGCGUGGAUGGGCCCCGUCGGGCAUUUACGCACGCGUCCCCACCCGCGCGCCCUCCCGCCACCGCGCGAACUACUGCGGUAAGUUAACGGGGUGCCGGGUGCGGAGGAGGGGGGUGGACGACGACGGCGCCGACGACGACGAGGCGAGGAGGAGGAGAAUAUGGGAGGAGGGGAGAGCGGAGGCUGCGGUUAAGCGGAGCCUGCGGAGGAGGAGGGGUCGGAGUCAACUGUUGUGGUCUGUCUCAAGAGCAUGCAAGUACCUCCAACAAGAUCUUCAGAAAUUCGUACCGAGACGUGUACCACGGGCACGCCGAUAUUCUCGACUGGUCUUCUCAAUGUCGGAACAGGUCGAAUAAAGCAGACGUGACCUACACGUGUUAUAAAACACGUCUUUUGUACUACCAUUUCUAAGAAGACAGUUACCUCGUUUACGCUGUCCUAAGGAAACACCACGAGCAUAACCGUAGCACCGAUUUGGGAGAGGACUUAAACAACGACCCUAUAAACCUUGGACCGAAAGACCACCUCAACGUCAUGGGGAACGUGAAUCGAUAGGACUUCAACUUGAGGACGUACAGUACUUACUGAGCCUGUAAAGAUACCACAAUUCGUGUUUUCUCGUAGUACUGUAAUACCUUUCGUAGAGAUGGUUUACAAGGUGAGCAAUAAGAGAAGAAGGUUGACACCUUUCAUAUGGAGGUUUCUAUCUACGGGUUCUUGGAAAUUCAUCACAUCACUGAAGUAGUCAAAGAUCGAAUUACCGACUCUAACUGUGAAAUUUCUUUUAAUUUCCUCUACUAGGACGAGAAUAGGAAAUGUGCUCACCGUGUUGACCAUUUGGCUUUCCUCAUCAGGUGUGAGUACUCCCCUAUGAAAGAGUCCAAGUUUAAGACUGUCUCCGUACCCCUAUAGUUUCACUUCUAGUCAAAGAGGUGACAGAAGGUGACGUGGUACACGUACCAGAAAAGUUACGAGAUAAACGCGGGGAGAUAAGUCCUAGUCACCAGCUCAAAAACGGUUUUAAGUCACACUCCCCUCAUACCGUCUCUACCGCACUCAGUAUAGGGUUACUGCCGUCAUUUUUACUACUCCGAUAAUGUCAUAAAUGACCUCAAGGCUGUCACAUGUGUGCGGAUGACGUUCCCAUGCUAUCAUACUUAGGACUAGUUGUCAGACGGACAAGAAUACGGCGUUUCGUCGACUCUGAUUACUACACACCUAGUAGUCGUGAAGGAAGGGGUGAGUACUUUGCCACCGUCCUUCACUGUCCGGUGGCAGAAAACCUUGCGAUACCGUACUGACUCAAACAGUACCGUGACAGAUUAGGUAACGUACCACGUUCCUUUCUUCCAUGUCAGCCAUUUGGAGAAGGCGCACAACUCCGGUUCUAGUAAUACCUGCUACCAUGACUUUGAUUUUGACCUCAGCCACUCGAGACAUAAUUUUCAGGCAGGGAAAAGUUUCUCAUGACCUUUUCUGGCCUCCAAUGUCGUCUUAGUAAAUAACUACCACCCAAGAAGUUCUGACCACUAUGCCAUUGGCAUCUACUCCUGCCUAUGAAAUAUUAAGAUCCCGCGUGUUUACGACUAUAGUACUUUCAACCACCAAUAUUCAACAGUCGCAAUCUUUAACUCCGCCAAGACAAUCUCGUACUGUGACAUGACCUCACACGACAAGAACCGAACGGGCUACUUCGAAUACCCCUCCGAUAUACACGUUAUUAACACGGAUUCCUCCUACGUUUCCUUUUCCGACUUGUCCGAAGUUUCGGUCGUGAUUGGAAUCUUCGUAACUGUUCAACCAGUUUUCUAUUUGAACGAGGUAUGUUCUAAGGUUGUUCUAACGUGAAUACCCUAAGAGAAGGAGCCUUACGGUACCCUUUCCAAUUGUUCUUCCUCGAAUUCUUUAAUAAUCUCCACAUCGACAUCUUCACGUGCGAGAUCGGUUACGUUGGUUUUCUGGCUAGACUACCUUCUCUGAUCCGUCGUGUAAUAUGCAGUUGUGAGGGGAAGUGCACACCGAGGAAGUCCGGAUUUGCACCUAGCUUUCACCCGACGUUAAAUUAACGCGGUCGACCCAGAACUUGAGUUCUGGAGAACCGAGACUAUAGUACAUUUUCACGUACGAGAUCGGUCACGUUAGUUUUUUGGCUAAACUACCUUCUCUGAUCCGUCGUGUAAUAUGCAGUUGUCAUCGGUGUAAAUGUAACUACAUGGAUAAAAAGGUAGAGUGGGAAGAUGCUCCCUCUGUAUAUCGUCACAGUCGAUUAUUAAAACAGGACCUGUUGUUAUUACUAUUAAAUCUCGUUGACACGUUCAUUUAUCACGUGUGAUAGGAUACGAUUAGAAUUUUCGC